rnacentral:rRNA from 1 species
CCUACGGGUGGCAGCAGUGAGGAAUAUUGGUCAAUGGGCGCGAGCCUGAACCAGCCAAGUAGCGUGAAGGAUGACUGCCCUACGGGUUGUAAACUUCUUUUAUAAAGGCAUAAAGUGAGGCACGUGUGCCUUUUUGUAUGUACUUUAUGCUUAGGGUUCGGCUAACUCCGUGCCAGCAGCCGCGGUAAUACGGAGGAUCCGAGCGUUAUCCGGAUUUGUGGGGUUUAAAGGGUGCGUAGGCGGGGUUUGAAAUCAGCGGGAAAAAUUCGGGGCGAAACCACGUCGGGCCGUUGAAACUGGGGGCCGUGAGUGGGCCAGAAGAAGGCGGAAUGCGUGGUGGAGCAGUGAAAUGCAUAGAUAUCACGCAGAACACCGAUUGCGAAGGCAGCCUUCCGGCGCCCUACUGACGCUGAGGCACGAAAGUGCGGGGAGCGAACAGGAUUAGAUACCCCUGUAGUC